ACAGUCAGUUGUUGCUGGUCUAGUAGUGGUGGUAUGAAUUAACACAGUCAGUUGUUGCUGGUCUAGUAGUGGUGGUAUGAAUUAACAGUCAGUUGUUGCUGGUCUAGUAGUGGAGGUAUGAAUUAACAGUCAGUUGUUGCUGGUCUAGUAGUGGAGGUAUGAAUUAACAGUCAGUUGUUGCUGGUCUAGUAGUGGUGGUAUGAAUUAACACAGUCAGUUGUUGCUGGUCUAGUAGUGGUGGUAUGAAUUAACAGUCAGUUGUUGCUGGUCU